rnacentral:rRNA from 1 species
AGUUCGGAUUGCAGGCUGCAACCCGCCUGCAUGAAGUUGGAAUCGCUAGUAAUCGCGGAUCAGCAUGCCGCGGUGAAUACGUUCCCGGGCCUUGUACACACCGCCCGUCACACCAUGAGAGUCGGGAACACCCGAAGUCCGUAGCCUAACAGCAAUGGGGCGCGGCCGAAGGUGGGUUCGAUAAUUGGGGUGAAGUCGUAACAAGGUACC